UACGAAGGGUGCAAGCGUUAAUCGGAAUUACUGGGCGUAAAGGGUGCGUAGGCGGUUGUUUAAGCCUGUCGUGAAAUCCCCGGGCUCAACCUGGGAAUGGCGAUGGAUACUGGCGAGCUAGAGUGUGUCAGAGGAUGGUGGAAUUCCCGGUGUAGCGGUGAAAUGCGUAGAGAUCGGGGGGAACAUCAGUGGCGAAGGCGGCCAUCUGGGACAACACUGACGCUGAAGCACGAAAGCGUGGGGAGCAAACAGG
rnacentral:rRNA from 1 species